GGAUUUUAAAUAUUCUCACCACAAAUAAAUAAGUAUGUGAGGUGAUGGAUAUGCUAAUUAGCCUUAUUUGAUCAUUCUACAGCCUAUACAUGUAUCAAAACAUCAUGUUGUAUCCCAUAAAUAUAUACAAUUAGUAUUUGUCAAUUAAAAAUGAAAAAAGAAGACAAUGGUAAUUGUGCACAAUGGUUUCAUACUCUAGAGGGGAGAGGGAUGUAAGACGGUGUAGACACCAACAUUGUAUAAGGCAGAAUGAUUAAAAAUAAUAAAUCAUAUUGAAACCAGCUAAGACUUUUGGAGUAAAAGAUGAUGAUAGCUGUUUACAAAGACCGGAGCAGGGAGUUCCAGGUAGUUUCUGUCUAAGUAAGGUUUAACCACUUAGAAACCAGGAGUGUGAAAAGGGGUCUUUCUGCAGGCUUUUUGUUGGAUGCAUUUUAGAUCCUCGAGUUUUAAAGUCCAAGGGUUAUUUCCUGAAUUCUUGCUCUAUUCAUUUCUUAGUGUUUGAAUUGCAGCAUUCAUUUCUUAGUGUUUAUUUUACAUUCAGAUGACAGCCACAUUUGCGAGAAUUAAGACGCUUCUAUGACUUUAAUUCAAUUACAGCAUGUAGAUACAUAAUAUGUUCUUGUAUAUUGUGAAGAAACAUAUUUUUCCAUCCUUGUUCUACUUUUGUAGCCUUGCUGCUUUCUGAUUGAAAAGUCAAAUUUUAACAUGUUUAAAAUGUGUUUCUAGGAUGUGUUAGUCAUAUGAUGGCAUGGUGAUUAACUGUGAGAUGUCCAUGACAUAACAAGUUCUUCCAAUCCUCAGUUGUUAUUCUUUUAGUAAUUAAUGAGCAUACAAAGAGAGGACUUGCUAAUGUAAAGCUUGGAUCAUAAAGGUGACAUUUUGUUAAGUUUAAAGUAAAUUAUAUAAUCCUCUGAAGGAGCACUUCUGGUUUUCCCAGCUCUGGCCAGGACAGCCUAUCUGUGCAGGAAGCAUCCCUGGCACCCAGUGGGGACUGAGGACCAAGGAGGAGCUGCUACCCCAUACACGGUUUGUACUUCUGCUCUGUGAAGAGAGACAACCGUACUCUGUCACCUUCACUGAAUUACGAGUGUGGAUCAUGGGAGCUCUUUUACAGAGCAGAUAUUACUCCAGCAGCUUUACAAACGUAGUCGUCAUGUCUACACUACAAGGUGGGCAUUUGUGUCCACAUUUAUACAGAUAAGUAAAUAAGAUUAUGAAAGCUUAAAUUACUAAAAAGUGCUAGAACUGAGAUUCACACGCCUUAAAUAGCU
rnacentral:lncRNA from 1 species